rnacentral:lncRNA from 1 species
AAUCGAACACCUCUUAUAACCUCUUUUCAUGUUUGGGUGGAAAAACAGUGAUUAACAAAUCCUAGGAAAGUGCGAGGCAUUUAAAUGGAUGUACAAUUUCAAGCCUUUCAGAGCCGGCUGAGAGCUGCUGCACUGAUGAAAGGGCUGAUGAUAACUUCUCAGCAGAAAGGUUAACGGGUGUGUGCGAUUUUAUCUGCAGCAGAGACUGUGAGGAGGUGGAGGGGAGGGGGCUUCAGAAUGGUCUUCGGGUUGAUGAUGGAUUGUUCAAAACUGCUCUAGGUGGCUGGGCGCGGUGGCUCAUGCCUGUAAUCCCAGUACUUUGGGAGGCCGAGGAUCACCUGAGGUUAGGAGUUCAAGACCAGCCUGGCCAACGUGGCAAAACUCCGUCUCUACUAAAAAUACAAAAAUUAGUUGGGCAUGGUGGCGGACAUCUAUAACACCAGCUACCCAGGAGGCUGAGGCAGGAGGAUCGCUUGAACCCGGGAGAUGGAGGUUGCAGUGAGCCGAGAUCGCGCCACUGUACUCCAGCCUGGGUGAAAGAGCGAAACACCGUCUCAAAAAAAAAAAAAAAAUGAUAUGUGAAUAUGUGAGAUGAUUUUGGGUGGUUCCUGAACCAGCAUGAAACGCUGUGGAAUCCCACAGUGUGAAAUGUAUUCCCUUGCCCAGUGUCUUUCAGUCUCUCUGAGAUAGUCAUGGAGAUAGUUUCAGUUCAAUGCUCAUGUGACUUCAAUACCUCUCUACUGCUUGAGAGAGACAAAGGUGAAACUGCC